UACGAAGGGUGCAAGCGUUAAUCGGAAUUACUGGGCGUAAAGCGUGCGUAGUCGGUUAUCUAAGUCGGGUGUGAAAUCCCCGGGCUCAACCUGGGAAUUGCAUUCGAUACUGGAUAGCUAGAGUUCGGCAGAGGGAAGCGGAAUUUCGGGUGUAGCGGUGAAAUGCGUAGAUAUCCGAAGGAACAUCAGUGGCGAAAGCGGCUUCCUGGACCAGAACUGACGAUCAGGCACGAAAGCGUGGGGAGCAAACAGG
rnacentral:rRNA from 1 species